UACGUAGGGUGCAAGCGUUGUCCGGAAUUAUUGGACGUAAAGAGCUCGUAGGCGGUUUGUCGCGUCUGCUGUGAAAACUCGGGGCUUAACUCCGGGCCUGCAGUGGGUACGGGCAGACUAGAGUGCGGUAGGGGAGACUGGAAUUCCUGGUGUAGCGGUGAAAUGCGCAGAUAUCAGGAGGAACACCGGUGGCGAAGGCGGAUCUCUGGGCCAUUACUGACGCUGAGGAGCGAAAGCGUGGGGAGCGAACAGG
rnacentral:rRNA from 1 species